rnacentral:rRNA from 1 species
UACGUAGGGGGCAAGCGUUGUCCGGAUUUAUUGGGCGUAAAGAGCGUGUAGGCGGUUCGGUAGGUCCGUUGUGAAAACUCGAGCUCAACCUCGAGACGCCGAUGGAAACCCCCGAACUAGAGUCCGGAAGAGGAGAAUGGAAUUCCUGGUGUAGCGGUGAAAUGCGCAGAUAUCAGGAAGAACACCCGUGGCUAAGGCGGUUCUCUAGUACGGUACUGACGCUGAGACGCGAAAGCGUGGGGAGCGAACAGG